GAUUUAACAGCUUUUGUUUUGGGCAGAAGAACCUAUGGGCACAAAAAGCAGGAACGAGUAGCGGUGGCUGAAGAACGAGCAGGAGCUUGAAUUUCAGUUUUCUUAUGAGGAAUUUUCCAGAAAAGAUAUCUUCACUGUGAAAUAACUAAAUAAAUGCCCACUCAGUACAGUCACUGUCUCCCUUUUGGAACUUGAUGGCACCUUAAGCCCAGGUUUGCCUCCACUCUAGAAACUCAUCAGAGUGAUGCCCUUCUCAAAUGGGGGAGGUCCCAAAGCGGAUAUCCUGGCAGUGUGAAAGGCCGGCUAAAGACAAAAAUACCUGCUACAUGCUUCCUUCUGUAUGAAUACAUGAGACCUACCUUCAUUCAUGUUUCCUCUAUGAAGCUUUCCCUGCACUCCAAACACAGAGCUGAGACUUCCACCUAAUGUAGAAAGCUAGCACGAGCCGGCGCUGACAGAUGGAAGACUUGAGAUGUUACAAGAUUAUAUAUGGAAACACAAAAGGAGUGGAGUUGCUGGGUCAUAUGGCAAUUCAUUUGAGGAACUGAGAAGCUUAUUCCAUGGAGGCUGAACUGUUUUAUAUUCCCACCAGCAACGUGUAAGGUUCCAGUUUAUCUACAUCAUCACCAACACUUGCUAUUUUCCAUUUCAUUAAUGAUAGCCAUCCUAGUGGAUUUGAAGUGGUACCUUAUUAUCGUGGUUUUGAUUGCAUUCUCUAUUGACUAAUGAUAUCGAGCAUCUUUUCAUGUAUUUUUUGGUCAUUUGGUCAUUUUUCUUUUUUAAUUUUAAAAUUUUGAGACAGGCUCUCACUAUGUUGCCCAGGUGGUCUCAAACUCCUGGGUUCCAGCGAUGCUCAUGCCUCAGUCUCCCAAAGGGGUGGGAUUACAGGUGUGAGCCACUUUGCCCAGCCCAUUUGUAUAUCUCCUUUGGAGAAUAUCUAGGUUCUUUUGAAGGUAGCUGCAUAUAAACUAGCCAAAUUAACAGACUGUGGUUUUUAGAUGGCUUUCCAUAUCUACAAGAACUAUUUAGUUCUCAAAACUGGGAAGAAAUGUUUCAGAGGCAUCAUUAAUUCAUAAUCUAAAAAUUUAUCUUGGGUUUCCUUUUUUCCCCCAGAUUCUGUAUCCUCCAUAGUCCUAUUCAUGACAUGGGUCGUUCAUCUCUGUAUUCUAAACCCUCAAUGAACUGUAGACAGUAAUAAAUAUUUAUUGGAUGAAUGGUCUCUCAUCAGCCACCUUUUCUUUUUUUUUUUUUGAGACAGAGUCUCACUCUGUCACUCAGGCUGGAGUGCAGUGGCGCGAUCUCGGUUCACUGCAACCUCUGCCUCCCGGGUUCAAGUGAUUCUCCCACCUGAGCCUCCCGAGUAGCUGGGAUUACAGGUGCACGCCACCUUGUCUGGCUAAUUUUUGUAUUUUUAGUAGAGACAGGGUUUCACCGUGUUGGUCAGGCUGGUCUCAAACGCCUGACCUCAGGUGAUCUGCCCGACUUGGCCUCCCAAAGUGCUGGGAUUACAGGUGUGAGCCACCGCACCUGGCCUCCAGCCUCUUUUCUUUUUUUUUUUUGAGACAAGUCUAACUCUGUCACCCAGGCUGGAGAGCAGCGGCAUGAUCAUGGCUCACUGCUGCCUCAACCUCAGAGGCUCAAGUCAUUGUCCCCACCUCAGCCUCCCUAGUAGACUGGACUACAGGCAUGUGCCACCACACCCAGCUAAUUUUUCAUCAGCCACCUUUUCUAACCAUCUGUCUGCACUGACUUCCCAGGUUCUGCAUCAUUAUUGGUUUACUGAGACAAUGCACUUCACCCGUCCUUCAAUCCCAAAGUAGCACAGAAUAUCAGGAGUUCUUUGAGCCCCUAAGUGCCCUACUUUCCCAGGGUCAGGGGACCCUGACAAGCAAGGUCCCCACAUCUUUCUGUGGUUGGAUAGGGAUAUAAAAUUUCUCACACAUGUUAAAUCAAGAUACUUUGGCCAGGCACGGUGGCUCACACCUGUAAUCCCAGCACUUUGGGAGGCUGAGGUGUACAGAUCACUUGAGGUCAGGAGUUUGAGACAAGCCUGGUCAACAUGGUGAAACUCCCAUCUCUACUAAAAAAAAAAAAACUUUGGGAGGCCGAGGUGGGUGGAUCAUGAGGUCAGGAGUUUGAGACCAGCCUGGCCAACAUGGUGAAACCCCGUCUCUACUAAAAAUGCAAAAAUUAGGUGGGUGUGGUGGCACACAGCAGUAGUCCCAGCUACUCAGGAGGCUGAGGCAGGAGAAUUGCUUGAACCUGGGAGGCAGAGGUUACAGUGAGCUGAGAUCAUGCCACCGCACUCCAACCAGGGCAACAGAUCAAGACUCCAUCUUGGGGAAAAAAAAAAAAAUUAGCCAGGCUUGGUGGUGGAUGCCUGUAUUCCCAGCUUCUUGGGAGACUGAAGCAGGAGGAUCGCUUGAACCCAGGAGGCAGAGGUUGCAGUGAGUUGAGAUUGUGCCACUGUACUCCAGCCUGGGCAACAGAAACAAUACUCCGUCUCAAAAAAAAAAAAAAAAAAAAAAAAUCAAGACACCAAACACACACAACUAAUUAGCUCUAUAAAUUGAAUUAAAAGAAAAUCCAUACUGACUUGCUUUCCCAUCUGUCCAUAUUUGUCUAUCCAAAUGAUUAAGGGCUAGAGAAAAUACAGAUGAUGAUGGCUGAGAUGGGAUAAAACUAUAAAUUGACUUGGUUCCAUUUACCUCCCAGAAUCAGCAUACAGUGACAAAGUAGAGAGAAAAGGUCUGGGCACCACAAACUUGUACUUGUGCUAGAAAUGUAGGUGCCUUUUCAUUUGCCCAGCAGGGCUAGUUUAACAGCCAGGGUAUCUUCUGGGACUCUUCCCCAAAUCUUGCUCUACCGCUGACUAGCUAUGUGAUCUUGGGCAAGUUUCUCAACCUUUCUGUGCCUUUCUUCCUUUACUUAUAAAUAAGGAUAACAGAAUUUGCUUCAUAGAGUUAGUCUGAGGAUUCAGUAAGUAGAUACGUG
rnacentral:lncRNA from 1 species